AUGAACGCUGGCGGCGUGCCUAAUACAUGCAAGUCGAGCGAACGGACGAGAAGCUUGCUUCUCUGAUGUUAGCGGCGGACGGGUGAGUAACACGUGGAUAACCUACCUAUAAGACUGGGAUAACUUCGGGAAACCGGAGCUAAUACCGGAUAAUAUUUUGAACCGCAUGGUUCAAAAGUGAAAGACGGUCUUGCUGUCACUUAUAGAUGGAUCCGCGCUGCAUUAGCUAGUUGGUAAGGUAACGGCUUACCAAGGCAACGAUGCAUAGCCGACCUGAGUGGGUGAUCGGCCACACUGGAACUGAGACACGGUCCAGACUCCUACGGGAGGCAGCAGUAGGGAAUCUUCCGCAAAGGGCGAAAGCCUGACGGAGCAACGCCGCGUGAGUGAUGAAGGUCUUCGGAUCGUAAAACUCUGUUAUUAGGGAAGAACAUAUGUGUAAGUAACUGUGCACAUCUUGACGGUACCUAAUCAGAAAGCCACGGCUAACUACGUG
rnacentral:rRNA from 1 species